rnacentral:rRNA from 1 species
UACAGAGGGUGCGAGCGUUGUCCGGAAUCACUGGGCGUAAAGGGCGCGUAGGUGGCGGGCCAAGUCCAUGGUGAAAGCUCGAUGCUCAACAUCGAGUCGGCCACGGAUACUGGUGCGCUGGAGCACUGUAGAGGCUAAUGGAAUUCCGGGUGUAGCGGUGGAAUGCGUAGAGAUCCGGAAGAACACCGGUGGCGAAGGCGGUUCUCUGGGCAUUACCUGACGCUGAGGAGCAAAAGUGUGGGGAGCGAACAGG